AUACCAGCACCCCGAGUGGUCGGGACGAUUAUUGGGCCUAAAGCAUCCGUAGCCGGUACUGCAAGUCUUCCGUUAAAUCCACCUGCUUAACAGUUGGGCUGCGGGGGAUACUACAGCGCUAGGAGGCGGGAGAGGCAAGCGGUACUCAAUGGGUAGGGGUAAAAUCCGCUGAUCCAUUGAAGACCACCAGUGGCGAAGGCGGCUUGCCAGAACGCGCUCGACGGUGAGGGAUGAAAGCUGGGGGAGCAAACCGGAUUAGAUACCCGGGUAGUCCCAGCUGUAAACGAUGCAGACUCGGUGAUGGGCUGCCUUGUGCCAACCCAGUGCCGCAGGGAAGCCGUUAAGUCUGCCGCCUGGGGAGUACGGUCGCAAGACUGAA
rnacentral:rRNA from 2 species